UGCAGGACGAAGGCCUUCGGGUUGUAAACUGCUUUUGUACGGAACGAAAAAGCUCUUACUAAUACUAGGAGUCCAUGACGGUACCGUAAGAAUAAGCACCGGCUAACCACGUGCCAGCAGCCGCGGUAACACGUAGGGUGCAAGCGUUAAUCGGAAUUACUGGGCGUAAAGCGUGCGCAGGCGGUUAUAUAAGACAGAUGUGAAAUCCCCGAGCUUAACUUGGGAACUGCAUUUGUGACUGUAUAGCUAGAGUACGGCAGAGGGGGAUGGAAUUCCGCGUGUAGCAGUGAAAUGCGUAGAUAUGCGGAGGAACACCGAUGGCGAAGGCAAUCCCCUGGGCCUGUACUGACGCUCAUGCACGAAAGCGUGGGGAGCAAACAGGAUUAGAUACCCUGGUAGUCCACGCCCUAAACGAUGUCAACUGGUUGUAGGGUCUUCACUGACUCAGUAACGAAGCUAACGCGUGAAGUUGACCGCCUGGGGAGUACGGCCGCCAGGUUGAAACUCAAAGGAAUUGACGGGGACCCGGACAAGCGGUGGAUGAUGUGGUUUAAUUCGAUGCAACGCGAAAAAACUUACCCACCUUUGACAU
rnacentral:rRNA from 1 species